rnacentral:rRNA from 1 species
AUUGAACGCUGGCGGCAGGCUUAACACAUGCAAGUCGAACGAGUGGCGGACGGGUGAGUAAUGCUUGGGAAUCUAGCUUAUGGAGGGGGAUAACUACGGGAAACUGUAGCUAAUACCGCGUACCAUAGGAUGAGCCCAAGUGGGAUUAGGUAGGUGGUGAGGUAAAGGCUCACCAAGCCGACGAUCUCUAGCUGGUCUGAGAGGAUGACCAGCCAAACUGGGACUGAGACAGGGCCCAGACUCCUAGGAGAGGCAGCAGGGGGGAAUAUUGCGAAAUGGGGGCAACCGGACGCAGACAUGCCGCGUGAAUGAAGAAGGCCUUCGGGUUGUAAAGUUCUUUCGGUAGCGAGGCGUAACUACAGAAGAAGCACCGGCUAACUCCGUGCCAGCAGCCGCGGUAAUUC